AUCUAAGUACCCCGAGGAAAAGAAAUCAACCGAGAUUCCCCCAGUAGCGGCGAGCGAACGGGGAGCAGCCCAGAGUCUGAAUCAGCUUGUGUGUUAGUGGAACGGUCUGGAAAGUCCGACGGUACAGGGUGAUAGUCCCGUACACCAAAAUGCACAGGCUGUGAACUCGAAGAGUAGGGCGGGACACGUGGUAUCCUGUCUGAAUAUGGGGGGACCAUCCUCCAAGGCUAAAUACUCCUGACUGACCGAUAGUGAACCAGUACCGUGAGGGAAAGGCGAAAAGAACCCCGGCGAGGGGAGUGAAAAAGAACCUGAAACCGUGUACGUACAAGCAGUGGGAGCACCUUCGGGUGUGACUGCGUACCUUUUGUAUAAUGGGUCAGCGACUUAUAUUCUGUAGCAAGGUUAACCGUAUAGGGGAGCCGCAGGGAAACCGAGUCUUAACUGGGCGUUAAGUUGCAGGGUAUAGACCCGAAACCCGGUGAUCUAGCCAUGGGCAGGUUGAAGGUUGGGUAACACUAACUGGAGGACCGAACCGACUAAUGUUGAAAAAUUAGCGGAUGACUUGUGGCUGGGGGUGAAAGGCCAAUCAAACCGGGAGAUAGCUGGUUCUCCCCGAAAGCUAUUUAGGUAGCGCCUCGUGAACUCAUCUUCGGGGGUAGAGCACUGUUUCGGCUAGGGGGUCAUCCCGACUUACCAACCCGAUGCAAACUACGAAUACCGAAGAAUGUUAUCACGGGAGACACACGGCGGGUGCUAACGUCCGUCGUGAAGAGGGAAACAACCCAGACCGCCAGCUAAGGUCCCAAAGUCAUGGUUAAGUGGGAAACGAUGUGGGAAGGCACAGACAGCCAGGAUGUUGGCUUAGAAGCAGCCAUCAUUUAAAGAAAGCGUAAUAGCUCACUGGUCGAGUCGGCCUGCGCGGAAGAUGUAACGGGGCUAAACCAUGCACCGAAGCUGCGGCAGCGACACUAUGUGUUGUUGGGUAGGGGAGCGUUCUGU
rnacentral:rRNA from 1 species